UACGUAGGGUGCAAGCGUUGUCCGGAAUUAUUGGGCGUAAAGAGCUCGUAGGCGGUUUGUCGCGUCUGCUGUGAAAACUCGGGGCUUAACUCCGGGCCUGCAGUGGGUACGGGCAGACUAGAGUGCGGUAGGGGAGACUGGAAUUCCUGGUGUAGCGGUGAAAUGCGCAGAUAUCAGGAGGAACACCGGUGGCGAAGGCGGGUCUCUGGGCCGUAACUGACGCUGAGGAGCGAAAGCGUGGGGGGCGAACAGG
rnacentral:rRNA from 1 species